rnacentral:sRNA from 2 species
AGUGGCUCAUUCACCUGUUUAUGUCAGCCCCAUUUGGCCGCGCUACAUAAAAACCGAAUGACGCACAAAAAGGUGCCUGCCGUCCAACUACUGAUUAUUGCAUUGCUUUAUCAGGCUCAGGGCGAAACGUUGAGUUAGGCACCGCCUG